UCCACGAAAAAAUGAAACUUUGAUAGCCUGUAGAGUUUCGGGCGCUGAGUCGAAUGGUCUUGGUCCGAAGUCUCUACGACGAAGCGUUCUUGAGAUAUUUCACUUUGAAAUUGCAAAAACGGGGGCCGCGCCCUGACGUCAUGCGGCCAUUUGGUUACAUCAUCACGGGCUGCCUACGUCAUUGUGGCAAAGUCGUUUCUCUUCGCCAGUCUACAAGCACUAAUUUUAGUUGGUAUUUCAAGGGAAGAUGGGCGAUUCCGAACAAUCCUCUGUCCCCAGCAAUGAAGGCAGCGAUGCUGAGGCCAGUGAGGACGACCAACAGCCCACCGCCGCGUAUGGUUGGGGCAGGGAGCCCAGAUACUCUGCUGAGGAGCUGCCAUCGCGUGUAACAAAUGUGGAGGAAGAAGAUGCGUCAGCAGCUGCGUCCGACAGAAGACGAGUAGCUUGGCCACCAGAAUCUCGAUUCGUUUGGGACUCCGACUGGUGCGAGCGUGGACAAAAGUGUAUAGCCAUGCCCAGCCCGCGGGAAUGAUUUUGCUGGUAGGAUGCUGCCGUCGCUGUCGACAAGACGGCCCAAGGUUUCUUGCGUAGCGGACCUCGCAGAUUACGAGAUCGUAUCCUUGCAUUAGGCUGUGCUCAUCACUGCUCUUCGAGGUUAUCUCGACAUGCAGAAGCCGCCAAUGCCAGUGACAGAAGAGUCUGACAUUAGAUCUCUACGCUAUGCGGCACACAGGCAGUACACACUAUGUACACGGCAAAUUGGGCAAGCACGUUCGUUGUCGUCUUCCAGCCUGCGUUGUGAAUACCAUCAGGCAAAGAUAUCCAAAUCCUGCACCACCUCAGCCUUCUCAGGAGGCUUCCACCUGGAAUUUGGCAGGGAAACACGCUUCUCCAAGGCAGGAACAUGGAGGUUGCCAUUUGCAACCGCUACCACCUCACACAUGAGCUUGUCAACAUACUCAUAGCUCUUUCUGUCGUAUAAUUUUCUAUUUUGCCACAGUCUUCUUUAUGCUUUGAGAACUGGACUUUAUACCUUCC